UAGUGCUUAACUGUCUCUUAAGAAUUGUUUUCUUUUACUCAUUGUAAAAUUCUUUGCUAAGUGUUUUCAUGAAAGGUGAAAUAAAUACAUGUUUUUGUUGUUAUAGGCGGAGCCCAUCAUGUAGCAACACAAACUACCAGAUUUCAGAGGUUUGUGGUGAUCCAUUUUCUUCUUUCUUUAGAUCCUGAGUGACACGCAGCAACUUAUGGAUUCGUCCUCUGAAAAAAGCUCCAGGAAGAUCCAUGACUACAGGAGUAUUUACAGACAAAAUGAACACAUCUACGACACUUCUAAGCGGGCACGAUGCAUGAGGACUGAGCCAGUGCCCCUAAUGAAGAAGGAUGAUCCUCCGCUACAGACAGACAGGCAGCGUGCCUCAGAGACAUCAUCUUUCACAUGAGACAAAUCUGAGGCUGGGUUUCUUACUGGAUGACAUGUAUCAUUGGCAACACUUUCUGUGCUUUGGGAAAAGAGACAACACCAUUUAAUCACAGCUGUAAAUGUCAAACACAGAUCACAGUCCACUGCCUGAAAGAUUACAGAAAUGUCACUUCUUUGGGGUCGUCUUCCACAGCCAGUAGUGUAAGACUGUGUUUAUGUGAA